UACGUAGGGGGCUAGCGUUGUCCGGAAUCAUUGGGCGUAAAGCGCGCGUAGGCGGCCCGGUAAGUCCGCUGUAAAAGUCAAAGGCUCAACCUUUGAAUGUCAGUGGAUACUGCCGGGCUAGAGUCCGGAAGAGGCGAGUGGAACUCCUGGUGUAGCGGUGGAAUGCGCAGAUAUCAGGAAGAACACCGACGGCGAAGGCAGCUCGCUGGGACGUAACUGACGCUGAGACGCGAAAGCGUGGGGAGCAAACAGG
rnacentral:rRNA from 1 species